rnacentral:rRNA from 1 species
AGCCUGAUGCAGCCAUGCCGCGUGUGUGAAGAAGGCCUUCGGGUUGUAAAGCACUUUCAGUAAGGAGGAAAGGUUAAGUGUUAAUAGCACUUAGCUGUGACGUUACUUACAGAAGAAGCACCGGCUAACUCCGUGCCAGCAGCCGCGGUAAUACGGAGGGUGCGAGCGUUAAUCGGAAUUACUGGGCGUAAAGCGUACGCAGGCGGUUUGUUAAGCGAGAUGUGAAAGCCCCGGGCUCAACCUGGGAACUGCAUUUCGAACUGGCAAACUAGAGUGUGAUAGAGGGUGGUAGAAUUUCAGGUGUAGCGGUGAAAUGCGUAGAGAUCUGAAGGAAUACCGAUGGCGAAGGCAGCCACCUGGGUCAACACUGACGCUCAUGUACGAAAGCGUGGGGAGCAAACAGGAUUAGAUACCCUGGUAGUCCACGCCGUAAACGAUGUCUACUAGAAGCUCGGGUCUUCGGACUUGUUUUUCAAAGCUAACGCAUUAAGUAGACCGCCUGGGGAGUACGGCCGCAAGGUUAAAACUCA